AGAACGAACGCUGGCGGCAGGCUUAACACAUGCAAGUCGAACGCCCCGCAAGGGGAGUGGCAGACGGGUGAGUAACACGUGGGAACAUACCCUUCGGUACGGAACAACUCGGGGAAACGCGAGCUAAUACCGUAUACGCCUUGGCGGGGAAAGAUUUAUCGCCGAAGGAUUGGCCCGCGGCCGAUUAGCUAGUUGGUGAGGUAAUGGCUCACCAAGGCGACGAUCGGUAGCU
rnacentral:rRNA from 1 species